AAUUACAAUUCGGUCCGUGACUUUGUUUUAUGCGAUCGCAUAUUGUUAAUCUAUACGGUCGCAUAAGUCAUUUGAUUUGCCUCCUGAAAUUCCCUGUCGGUAUACAUGCGGCUGCAUGGAAUUAUAACUAUGCGGUCGCAUAGUUCACAUUGCUGCUUCCAACUUCCAUUGCUCGUAUCAUAUUAAUCCAAGUCUCUUCAGUCUUCGACCCCAAUAUGAAACUUGCUCCAUUUUGCGUCCCGAACAUGAUUUCAUCAAUAGUGGCUUUGACGAGCAACCCCAUCACCUCUUUAACUCGUUUCGCUCUAGAUCGUGUCAUCGGGCCUUCUUCAAUAAUCAAUGGGUCUUAACUCGACCUUACCUUCGUGACCCCCGCAUCUUGGAUUAACUACAUUUUAAUCGAUACAUUGAGCAGUUCAAGGUAGAUCGAGAGUGAAAAACAAAAAGUACGCAAGCAACCGUAAAGGAGGAGGAUUUGAAAGUAAACAUUACUAAAAAUGUCGCUUGAAAAGCUAGAAGAUAUGCGAAGCAACUGAUAAGUGGGAAUAAAGAACAGUUUGUGUUGCUAAUGUCGUAUGCAGCUGAGGUAUUGAGGACCAAUCCAGGAUCCACAGUGAUGAUAGGACUUAGUGGGCAGGUGUUUCAAGGUAUAUACAUCUAUUUUAGUGCUUACAAAUUAAGGUUUUAACAUGGGUGUAGAAAAAUCAUUGGAGUGGAGGGAUGCCAUUUUCGGGGUGUUUGGCCUGGUAUACUAUGUAAAUGAUUGUAUCUAUCCUAUUUCAUAUGCCGUUGUCCAGAAGGAGAAACUGUUGCUUCGAGAUGGUUUUUAAAAUAUUUGGCUGAGGAAAAUUAGAUGGAAAAUGGGUUGAUUGGACUGUGAUGACAGAUAGGCAAAAGGGAUUAAGUAAUGUCGUUGAUGAAUUAUUUCCAGAGAUGGAGCAUAUGUUCUGUGUUAGGCAUAUGUAUACAAAUUUUCUCAAUAGGAAUUUUAGGGGAAGACUUUGAAGGUCUUGUUUUGGCGGGCUGCUAAGUCUACUACCUUACCUAAGUUAGAAUGUGGAUGCAACAAAUUUGUCAAGUUAGUGAAGAAGUGUAUACAUGGCUGAACGAGAGGCAACAGGGCGAGUGGAGUAAAUCUCAUUUCAGGAAACACUUGAAGAUUGACAUUUUAUUGAAUAAUUUGUGUGAAGUUUUCAAUAAAAUGCUGAUAAAGGAUAGGGAGAAGUUCAUUGUAAUGAUGUUGGCAGAUAUGUAGUUGGGGUUUAUGAUUAGGAUUGAGAAGCAUCAAAGUAAGACAAGAAAGUACGAAGGGUGAUUGUAUCAAAGGACUAAAAACAGCUUGCUAAGAUCACUGAGAUGUCCAAUGAAUGCACAUUACAUUUUUCAGGAAGACCUCGAUGGCAGGUGGACUGUAGGUUAUAGACCUAUGUCGUUGACUUGGAAGAACGAAGUUGUGCAUGUAGGAGGUGGAACUUGAUGAGAAUACCACGUAAUCAAACCUUGGUCGUGAUAUGGGAGUGUAGAAAUGAUCUCGACGAUUAUGUGGAUAACUGUUACACAAUCGAAACAUACUUGAGAUGCUAUAAUAACAUCUUGAAUCCUAUUAACGGAAUACGAUUAUGGUCCCAAUUGGAUACUGUACCCAUCAUUCCACUCUCAUGGACUACUUUCACGAAGGGGGAGAAAGCAAAAAAAAAAAAAAAAUUGAGGAGACAAGCGGACGAAGAUAUUAUCGCACAGUAUCAAGAGGAAUCGCAUUUUAGGAGAAAAGGAAGAGUAUUGAUGACAAGCUCACUAUGUGGACUAAAAAGACACUACAAAAGAUAUUACUCUAAGCCUAAUGUACCGAGUUUUGACUGUAUGAAGGAUUGUUGGAGUCAGUUGAUAGUGGAAGGCACGUGACAGAGGAGGUUUGGAGACAUGCCAUGGAAAUGGAGCAGGUUCAAGUCACGCACAUGAGAAAGUUGAAAAUUUUCAAUUCAUGCCAACGUCAGGCUUCCAGCAUCAAUCUGAAAUAUUUUUAAGUUCAUUCCCACCCCCACUAAUCAUUCCUAGUGUUGGGAAAUCCAAUUUUUGAAGAAAAUAGGAACCUGUUUGUGUAGUGUUUCAUGUAUUUUGUGCUAUUAUAUUGGCAUGUGUAGUUGAUGUACAUAGGUAACUACGGGUGAUGGUUUGGAGGGUGUCCUUAUGAUGGUGUGGAUGGUGUUUUUGUCGUUGUGAUAGUGUCCAAUUUUUGUGUUUCUGCAGGUUUACUUUUGGAUAUAAAGGCAGCUAUAAUUUGAUAUUUAAUGCUAAAUGUUUUA